rnacentral:rRNA from 1 species
UACGAAGGUAGCUAGCGUUGUUCGGAAUUACUGGGCGUAAAGCGCACGUAGGCGGGCUGAUAAGUCAGGGGUGAAAUCCCGAGGCUCAACCUCGGAACUGCCUUUGAUACUGUUAGUCUUGAGAUCGGGAGAGGUGAGUGGAAUUCCUAGUGUAGAGGUGAAAUUCGUAGAUAUUAGGAAGAACUCAAGUGGCGAAGGCGGCUCACUGGCCCGAUACUGACGCUGAGGUGCGAAAGCGUGUGGAGCAAACAGG